AGAUUUUCUGUUGCCGUGUGUUCUGGAGUUCGGCAACAUAGGCAUGCAAGAUUGUUUAGGAGAUUUAAGUUACAACUUACAACAACAUAGAUUAAGAAGGACCAUUUUGGGGAUCGCCGUUGAGCAGAGGUUUAAAUUUGCUAGGUAUAAGAGAAGUAUUUCUGAGGCAAAUAAGGUCUGGUCGUGCCCUUCAUUUUGGAGAGAGGGAAAGGGACAUUCUUGAGAUGAUAUUGGAAAUGGCUUUUCAUGGAUUGAGUGGAUGGUCGUGUCUUGGAUGUUUGCUGCCUGAAUCACCUGCCUAUGUAUUUCAUGGAGAACAUCUUUCUCCUAGCUGUAUUGGACUUCAAAAUCAUAUUCCCAAUAAUUUACAUCUACAACAUGAGGCAAAAAUACCGGGAUGCGAGACAUAAAAGAAUUUCGAUAUUGCAUCAGAAAAGGUUGCGAUUAUUGGCUUCAGUAUCUCAUACUACUCUAUCUAAUAGUUCUGUAGAAGAAGGUCAACAUGUACAACAUGUAAGGUUACAAUACAGAAAUUCGCGAUUUCAAAGACUUUCAAUGUUGUGCCAGAAGAGGCCGCAAUUAUUGGCUUCAAAUUCUGUCCUUGGGUAUCCUACAUCGGGUGCUGGUGUGCCAGUGUCAAUUACUCUGAUUUUUGGGCUUCAUGGUUCUACUUACAGUUUUGUACCAAGUUCUUCGAUUCUUAUCAGACCUAACACCAUAUUUGUGCAGUCAAUAAAGGUAAUUUGCUUUGCCACUUUGUGAAGUUUAAUUAUACACAGUUUGUUAAACGUGCUUUGGUAACCUCAUAUUUGCUUUUAUUAAGUUGAAGAGUUAAGUGAAAUAAGGCCUGGGUUAACAUUGUAUGGAUUGUAUAUAUCUCCACCUCUUGAUGCUGUAUCUACUUGGUCCAAAACUAUAAAUGCCUCUGUUCCCGCAGUUUCUCAAAAGGCAAGUUUGAUUUAUGAGAAUAAUAUCAUUGUCUUCCGAGUUUUUCCUUGAGCUUAGAUUUGAUUUAGUCGAUGAAUUUGAGUUCAUGAUUUUCUCUAUUCAGGAGUUAAUAUAUUUUCUUAAUUAGGAAUCUCUAGCAAAUAUCAAAUACUGUGUCAAAUCUGAUAACUCUAUUUACCUCAUUAUUGCCCAAGGUAUGGUGACAAGCUUCUAUAUCAAUAUUCACUAGCGAAAUAUGUCUUUGUCACCUUUAAGAGGUCUUAUAUAUCUGGGUAUGCAUGAAAGUUCUACGAACUCAUGGAAUUUCUUUCUCUCCAAGUAUCAUUGGAGUUGUCAAAAUCAAAGCAAUUGUAAGAAAGAUCACUGUGUCAUGGGCCCUAAAGAGGGUGCAGUAUAAAUCAUUUAGUUGUGUACCUGUCAACUAUAAUGGCCUCUGUACCUAAUAUAGUUGUGUGAAAAAAAAGAUUGAUUUGCAGCACUGCCUGUACAGUUUAAUCCAAUGAUUAGAAUGCAACUGUUAGGCAAACACAAAUGGUAUUUGUGAACCAAAACUCAUACUCAUAGAUUGAUGUAGGCAUUAUAGGACACACACACACACACACACACACAUGAGAACUUGAGCAGUAAAUUGUCCAUUGAUGAUGCCUCCCUCCCUUUCCCCUUAUCCUCUCUUGUGAUAUUGCAAAUGCGAGAUAUUUUUUAUAUCAGUAGUUAAAUGUGCAAUUGAAUUGUUUUCCUACUCAAUAUUGCUUAAUAUCCUAUUACGGAGAACAAUAACUUUAGUUUUGAUCUGUAUCUAAUAUUACGAUGAAUUUUUUUUUUAGAUAAACACAGUUCUUAUGGUAUGCUAGAUUUGAUAUUAGAAUUAUAAUAUUUUGAGCUUUCAGUAAUGUUUCAAGAAAGCUGGGAUAAAACUUUGCUACUGGACCAUCAGUGGUUAAGGGAUCAACUAAAAUAAGGAGCAAAUUGAUGUUGAAGGACACAUGGCCUAUGAUGAUGCAUAAUUUAUUCAGUGAUUUAUUGAUAUAAGAUAUUGUAUUUGGCAUAAAGGCAUGGAAUUUAUAUAUGUGGAUACUUGUGUGCUUUUAGCUGUGGAGGAUGUUAGUCGGGCGAAUGAAAGUGAUUGUAAUUUAUGUUUGGAUUAGCAUGCAUCAUUCAAGAAUUCAAUGAUAAUGUUUUGCCAGGUUUCAUUCUACUCUCAGUUUUUUGAAUUGUUCCCCAUGUUGUGCAUUUUCAAAAGCUGAGUUUAUCAAUAGCCGUUAGUAUUGGAAUUUGGUCUUGGACGUUAACAAUAAUAUCUUUUAUAUAUGAGAUCUCCUAUAUUAGUUUUUUGAGUUGUUCCCGAUGUUGUGCAUAGUUCAUACUAAUUUUUUUUUCUUGAGGCUGAGUUUAUCAAUAGCCAUUAGUUUUGGAAUUCGGUAUGAGACAUUAGCAAAAGGAUCUUUUACAUAUGAGAUCUCUGAUAUAUGCAUGGUUUUCCUUUUGUAACAACUGA